rnacentral:rRNA from 1 species
UCACCAGGUUGAUUCUGCCUGACGCAGAUGCUAGUUUCUGAGAUUAAGCCAUGCAUGUUAACUGAAAGAAAUGGAAGGACGAACGGCUCAGUAAGACUGCGAUGAUUUGGUCUUGUUGGAAGGAUAACCAUUGGAAACGAUGGCUAAGAGACGAGAAUAAGUUGCAGACCUAUCAGUUAGUUGGUAGUGUAAAGGACUACCAAGGCGAUGACGGGAAACGGGAAAUCAGGGUUUUAUUCCGGAGAGGGAGCCUGAGAGAUGGCUCCCACGUCCAAGGACGGCAGCAGGCGCGAAAAUUGCCCACUCAUUCGUGUGGAGGCAGUUAUGAAACGUGAAAGUAUCGACGGAGAUUAGAAAUCUCGUUAAGGGAAUUGGAGGGCAAGUUUGGUGCCAGCAGCCACGGUAAUACCGACUCCAAGAGUGUGUGUGAGAGAUGCUGCAGUUAAAAAGUCCGUAGUCGUGACAAGCUAAUGAAAUGGUGGUUCUAUAGACCAUCAGAAUUAGUUUAUGUGGUGGAACAGAUAGGGAAGAUAGUAUAUUCGGGCGAGAGAUGAAAUGUCAAGACCCCGAGUGGACUAAGCGAGGCGAAGGCGAUCUUCUUAGAUGGAUCUGCAGAUCAAGGAAGAAGGUUGGAGGAUCGAAAGUGAUUAGAUACCGCAGUAGUUCCAACAGUAAACGAUGCCGGCAUUAUUCACUGAGUGGUGUGUAAGGGAGAAAUCUUAGGAUACGGGCUCUGGGGAUAGUAUGCUCGCAAGAGUGAAAAUUAAAGGAAUUGACGGAGCUACUCCACAAGGAGUGGAUUGUGCGACUUAAUUUGACUCAACAAGGGGAAACUUACCAGGACCAAGUACACAGAAGAUUGUAUGCAUGAUGUGUGCAGGAGUGGUGCAUGGUCGUUGGAAAUUGAUGGGAUGACUUUGGCUUUAAAUGGCUGAAUGAGUGAGAUCUUCUAGACAGGUGUUGUAAGACACAGGAAGGCGAAGGCUAUAACAGAUCAGUGAUGCCCUCAGAUGCCCUGGGCUGCACGCGCAAUACAAUGUGUAAUGAACGAAAAACGAGAUGAUCACACGAGAUGGACUAUCAGUUGUAAGAUUGGUACGAAAGAGGAAUUCCAAGUAAGUAUGUUUCAAAAAGAGAUAUUGAAAGAGUCCCUGUAGCUUAUACACACCGCCCGUCACUAUCUCAGAUGUUUAGAGGGAUGAAGAGCCUAGGCUCC